rnacentral:rRNA from 1 species
GACGAACGCUGGCGGCGUGCUUAACACAUGCAAGUCGAACGGUGAAGCCCUUCGGGGUGGAUCAGUGGCGAACGGGUGAGUAACACGUGAGCAAUCUGCCCUUGACUCUGGGAUAACUUCGGGAAACCGGAGCUAAUACCGGAUACGACAUACGAUCGCAUGGUCUGUGUGUGGAAAGAUUUAUCGGUCAGGGAUGAGCUCGCGGCCUAUCAGCUUGNGGUGGGGUAAUGGCCUACCAAGGCGACGACGGGUAGCCGGCCUGAGAGGGCGACCGGCCACACUGGGACUGAGACACGGCCCAGACUCCUACGGGAGGCAGCAGUGGGGAAUAUUGCGCAAUGGGCGAAAGCCUGACGCAGCGACGCCGCGUGAGGGAUGAAGGCCUGGUCGUAACC